AUUGAACGCUGGCGGCAUGCCUUACACAUGCAAGUCGAACGGCAGCACGGACUUCGGUCUGGUGGCGAGUGGCGAACGGGUGAGUAAUGCAUCGGAACGUACCCGGUAGUGGGGGAUAACUACCCGAAAGGGUGGCUAAUACCGCAUAUACUGUGCGCAGGAAAGCAGGGGACCUUCGGGCCUUGUGCUAACGGAGCGGCCGAUGUCAGAUUAGGUAGUUGGUGGGGUAACGGCCUACCAAGCCUGCGAUCUGUAGCGGGUCUGAGAGGAUGAUCCGCCACACUGGGACUGAGACACGGCCCAGACUCCUACGGGAGGCAGCAGUGGGGAAUUUUGGACAAUGGGCGCAAGCCUGAUCCAGCCAUGCCGCGUGAGUGAAGAAGGCCUUCGGGUUGUAAAGCUCUUUCGGACGGAAAGAAAUCGCGCAGGCUAAUACCCUGCGCGGAUGACGGUACCGUCAUAAGAAGCACCGGCUAACUACGUGCCAGCCGCCGCGGUAA
rnacentral:rRNA from 1 species